rnacentral:rRNA from 1 species
CUACGGGUUGCUCCAGUGGGGAAUAUUGGGCAAUGGGCGAAAGCCUGACCCAGCAACGCCGCGUGAAGGAAGAAGGUUUUCGGAUCGUAAACUUCUAUCCUUGGAGAAAAUAAUGAUGGUAUCCAAGAAGGAAGCCCCGGCUAACUACGUGCCAGCAGCCGCGGUAAUACGUAGGGGGCAAGCGUUGUCCGGAAUGAUUGGGCGUAAAGGGCGCGUAGGCGGCCUGUUAAGUUUGAAGUGAAAGUCCUGCUUUUAAGGUGGGAAUUGCUUUGAAAACUGGCGGGCUUGAGUGCAGGAGAGGUAAGUGGAAUUCCCGGUGUAGCGGUGAAAUGCGUAGAGAUCGGGAGGAACACCAGUGGCGAAGGCGACUUACUGGACUGUUACUGACGCUGAGGCGCGAAAGUGUGGGGAGCAAACAGGAUUAGAUACCCCAGUAGUC